rnacentral:rRNA from 2 species
UAGGACUCUCGGCAAUGGAUAUCUUGGCUCUUGCAUCGAUGAAGAGCGCAGCGAAAUGCGAUACGUGGUGUGAAUUGCAGAAUCCCGUGAACCAUCGAGUUUUUGAACGCAAGUUGCGCCCGAGCCAAUUGGCUAAGGGCACGUCCGCCUGGGCGUCAAGC